UACGAAGGGGGCUAGCGUUGUUCGGACUUACUGGGCGUAAAGCGCGCGCAGGCGGUCUUCCAAGUCAGUGGUGAAAGCCCGGAGCUCAACUCCGGAACUGCCAUUGAAACUGUGAGACUUGAGUAUGAGAGAGGUGAGUGGAAUUCCCAGUGUAGAGGUGAAAUGCGUAGAUAUUGGGAAGAACACCGGUGGCGAAGGCGGCUCACUGGCCAGUUUCUGACGCUGCAGCGCGAAAGCGUGGGGAUCAAACAGG
rnacentral:rRNA from 1 species